rnacentral:rRNA from 1 species
GACAGAGGUGCCGAGCGUUAGGCGGAAUCACUGGGCUUAAAGCGUGUGUAGGCGGAUGGGAACGUCGGUCGUUGAAAGCCCCCGGCUCAACCGGGGAAUGGGCGCCGAAACGACCCGUCUGGAGGGACGUAGGGGGACCUGGAACUUCCGGUGGAGCGGUGAAAUGCGUUGGGAUCGGAAGGAACGCCCGUGGCGAAAGCGAGGUCCUGGACGUCUACUGACGCUGAGACGCGAAAGCUAGGGUAGCGAACGGG